CUUGAUUUCUAUAGGUCUGGAAUCUGAGCAUGGCUUAGCUGGGUCCUCCAGCUCAGCAACUUUCACAGGCUGUAGUCAUCUCAGUGAGCAACUGAAGGAAAAUCUGCCUUCAAGCUCACUGGCGUGCAUGGUUGUUGACGGGAUUCCAUUCCUUGCAGGCAUUUGGACUGAGGGCCUCAUUUACUCACUGGCUGUCGGCCAAUUCCUUACCAUAUGGGCCUCCCCACAGGGCAACUUGAAAUAUGUCAUCUUCCUUCCCCAGAGCAAGGAGAGCCAUAGAGUGAGAGAGCAGGUUAGCAAAAGAUAGUGCUGGCAAGAGGGGAGUCACAGACUUUUAAAACCUAGUCUUGGAAGUGACAUCCCCUCACUUUUGCCAUAUCCCAUUCCUUAGAAUCAGAUUACUAGGUCCAGCUGCACAAAAGAGGAAGGGAUUACAGGAGGGCACAAAUACCAGGAGGCAAAGAGCAUUAGGAGCUAUCUUAGUAAUCAGCCUAUCAUAGCAGGGAUAUUUCAUCUCAUCCUCCUUAAGUUCAUUAUUUGGAGUUUAGGCAAUUUUCCCUCUAACAGGAAUGUACCAGUUCAAUAGCUGAAAGAUCCCAGGGCCGUGCUUGGCUAUGAUCAAAUCGCUUUUAGCGAACAGACAGGAGUAGAAUGGAGCCAGCAACUUUCCGAGGGCUGUGCUAACGGCGUAAGAGCUGCAUUCCUAAGGAAUAUGGUAGUGAGACAUACAACGUUUGUGUUUCUCAUGAACUUCAUUUAUGAGCUUCACUAAAGCACAUCUCAUUUGGGCAGGAAAUGAAGUAUAGCACAUGCCACAUACCUUAUAGACAAGUCUUAACAUGGCCCCAGUUCUACCCUUUGUUUCAACUUCGGCCAAGAAAUUUAAUCUUCAUCAGAAAAGAAUUCCAAGACAAGUUUCCAGCCUCCACCAGUUCCAGUUUUUAUGUACACCGUGGAUGACAGAGAGUGAAAGGACCCUUUUAUCUCUGAUCCAGCACCUGGGCUCUGCAGACACGUUCACCUGAUUGUCUCCCAGGUCAUGACUUCACCUAUACAGAAACCACAUUGAAUUUUCCACGGAUGCCCUCUAUGUCCUUUUGAUCAGGACAAAAGAAUGAGUCAAUAUUUAUGGAACAGGGAUGAGGAAGGAGACAUAUGCUAACUGUUGUGAACUUUUAACUAAUUUUGAAGGGACAGUCAUGAAUGUUGGUAAGUAUGAAUGAGAACUGUAAAAAUUGGUGUCUACUUUGUACAUACCUCAAUAUCCCCGUGGAAUUGGUUGUUGGUUUUCUGUUACACGUUUUUGUAGAAGCUCAAGAUCUCUGCAGAAUUUUAAAAUAAAAAUACGUAUAAGCAAUAAAAUAUUAAACUAGACAAUAAUCAUAUGUUAGAAUAGUUAGGGAAGAAUUUUAACAUGAGAAAAAGGCAAUAAUAGUCUUCCUGAUGAUUCUGCAUAAAUAGCAGAGUUCUAUAGUAAUCAAGGAAUAAAAUAGUUUUUGCCCAGCACAAAGUUAUAUAUGCAUGAAUGUCAAAAUUAAAAUAUUUAUGAAGUCUGUGUUUCUGCAGGUCACAACAAUCUAAUAAAUGAUAUUUCUCCAUCUUGGGGCUCAUUUGCUACUGUAGGAUUUCUAGACUUCUGCAAAGUAAAAUCUAUUACAUUUGGGUGUCCUCAGAGGUUUUUUUUUUUUUUUUUUUUUUUUGGUGAAGAAGAUUGGCCUGGAGCUAACAUCUGUUGCCAGUCUUCCUCUUUUUGCUUGCGGAAGAGUGUCACUGAGUUAACAUCCAUGCCAAUCUUGCUCUAUUUUGUAUGUGGGAUGUCGCCACAGCAUGGGUUGAUGAGUGAUAUGUAGGUCCACGCCCAGGAUCUGAACCUGCAAACCCCAAGCUGCCAAAACGGAGCAGGCAAACUUAACCCUUAUGUCACCGGGAUGGCCCCAUCAGAGGGUAUUUUUAUGGCCUCUCAGUUAGCAGGUUGCAUCUUCUAGUUUCUUUCUCUCCAGCUCCUCUUUAGUGAUGUUAUUGGUUGGACAUUUGCCAACCACUAGAUUGCAUGAGCAUCAUUUGGCAUGCCAUGCUGCUGAGGUCCACUUGAAGAUCUCUAAAUUGGUUUGCUGUGCCCAGCCACCAAUAUCGCUGCUAUGGCAGGGGGUUGUAGGUUGCAGCAUCACUGCCUACUAUUGCAGUGGCAGCAAUAGUAUCACGGAGAAUGAUCAUGGUGCUGUGUCUGCCUCUGGCUGUUGUUGGAAGCUGUUGGCCCCAGAUGCCAUCAGAG
rnacentral:lncRNA from 1 species